CUCGGCCUACGGGGGGCAGCAGUAGGGAAUAUUGCUCAAUGGGGGAAACCCUGAAGCAGCAACGCCGCGUGGGUGAAGAAGCGCCUCGGCGCGUAAAGCCCUGUCAGCAGGGAAGAAAAUGACGGUACCUGAAGAAGAAGCCCCGGCUAACUACGUGCCAGCAGCCGCGGUAAUACGUAGGGGGCAAGCGUUAUCCGGAUUUACUGGGUGUAAAGGGGGCGCAGACGGCGAUGCAAGCCAGGAGUGAAAGCCCGGGGCCCAACCCCGGCACUCCCCCCCCCCCUCC
rnacentral:rRNA from 1 species